CAUGUAGGCGGAUUGAUAAGUUUGAAGUGAAAUCCUAUAGCUUAACUAUAGAACUGCUUUGAAAACUGUUAAUCUAGAAUGUGGGAGAGGUAGAUGGAAUUUCUGGUGUAGGGGUAAAAUCCGUAGAGAUCAGAAGGAAUACCGAUUGCGAAGGCGAUCUACUGGAACAUUAUUGACGCUGAGAUGCGAAAGCGUGGGGGAGCAAACAG
rnacentral:rRNA from 1 species